rnacentral:misc_RNA from 1 species
CGCAUGCCAUCGUCACGUGAGGUGGGUGCAGCACACACCUAUAUAUAUAUACAUACACGCCCAUAUACAUACAGAAGCAAGCACGAAGCGGCGAGCAACACGCGCCUGCUCCCACCUCUUCCACCACGACACGCAUAAGCAGCGAUUUUGGUAUACGCUUCGUUUCUUUGCUGCUCUCUGUGGCGCUCCAGUGCGCAUCUGCAAGGGAGACGAAGGAGCGCGCUUCAACGCGGAGAUAGCGACACAAAAAGGUGUGGUGAGAGAUCGACGUCGCUCACUGCGCCGUUGCAGCGUGGCUGCGACCGCUGGAGGUUUCUGUGCAUAGAAGAGACGAGGUGGUGGCACUCGAAAAGAUACAGGAGAACAUAUCGAAGGCAGAGCGCAAUAACCGCUGCAGCAACACCGUUGCAUUGACGCUCGCGCCUUACAGAGGCCCAGAGAAGAGAAGGGCGAGGAUACUCGGUAUUUUUCCUGUCCGCCUCUGAAUCUGCAGUCGCCCUCCUCCCCAUUUCUCCCGUCCUCUUCCUCGCUCUCCCUCUCCGUCACCGUCUCCCACGCCGCUCACUGUAUCAUUACGCUGCAUAGAUAACACCACGGCAGAGACUUGUGGGCUUCUCUUUCUUUUCUUUUGGGUGCUUCUACUCUGCUGACGCGCCAUCUGCUUGGCCACAGCACCGUGCUCUUCUUCCUUCUUUCGCCCCCUCCCCCCUCCCCCCACUCCCUACUCCCCACUCCCCACUCCCACCCCUGUCCUCCUUCGCCACCUUUUUUUUUUUGCUUGUCGUAACUAGCUCACCGCUUCCACUCGCCUCGUCCGUGCGUGAGUGUGUGCGUGUGGAGGUCGUCAUCGUCCGCGAGAGCCGCGUUCUUUUUGUGUUCCGUUGUCGUGUGCUUUCCUAUGGUUGAUUGGUUUAGUUGAUUGCCCGCCUAGUACGCCAUCUCACUGCUGCUGCUGCUCGCUUCGUCUUAUUUUGUGUUGAUAUAGUUUUCGAUUCCCUGCGUGCAAGCCUCAGCACACACACACACACACACACACACUCACACGCAGAGCGCACAGAAAAAAGAGCAUACACACGCAUCCGUCGCACAUAGGUGAGCAGCCCCCCUAGCUCUUUCCUGCUCUGCUCUUAUUUAUAUGUUUGCCUCCUGGUCAGCAGCAUAUCAAAGGUCAGUGAACACGACGCGGAGGCGACUUUGUGCGAGCGCUCGCUCGCCCUCUCGUGCGCGUGUCCGAAGAGAAGGAAUCGAACCCACCGACCACGCAAGAGACGACUCGCUUAGACUAGAAUGCCUGCUACAAGCCCAUCCUCUGCUGCUGCCACGCCGGCAAGCGGCGGCAGGACCAGUGCGGCGGACCGACCGCAGCGAGAGCCGCAACACGGUCUCGGUGCCGGCUCCGCCAUGACUAUCGCCAGAGGUGACGACAGCGGCAGCGGUGACAGACUAUUAACGGAUGCUAAGCACGACGUGCAAUACUUCGAUGUGUUUCAUCCAAUCCUUCUGAGUCACGUGCGCCGUGCCAACAGUGACGGUGUGUUGGCGCUUCUGUCGCUGCCAAGUAUUGCGGAGAGCGACGUUUUCUGGCGCACGUGCACGUAUCGUGAGGGGCUGGUGGCUGCCGUGCUGAUCCACGUCAUGGAGCACACGGGGCAGCUGACUGUCCCGGCAAGCCCACCCACGUUGUCGACGCCCGCAUAUGAAGCUGCUAGCCCUCCUGGCAUACUUGUGAAUUCUCAAGAGCGAGCUGACGACUCUCCAGCUUGCUCACCGGAGCCGACCCCGCAAACGAGGAGGCAGCCGUCGCUGCCAUCACCCUCACCUCACUCCUCUCCAGCGCCAUCAGUCCCGUCUGACGCCAUCAUUGUGGCCGACGAUGGGCUCUCGCCGGCGUCUCACUCGCCUCGCAUUACUCCCCUCACCGUGGAUGACCUUCACGUGCUGCUGCAUCUCUGCUCACGCGAAGGAGCCGAGGCUGAGGCAUCAUGCGGAGGGCGCCAGAGUGUCUCUUCACCGCAGGGGCGCAAGGGCGCAGACAGCGCAGAGAGGCCCUGCGUUCUCGAUCGACGCCACCCGCCCGCGCUUGCCUCGCUCCUGCAGGCAGGCAAGGCGCUACGGCAGCAGCGCAGCAGCAGCAGCAGCAGCAACACAUCGACAACAGGCGCAGGCACUUCCAGCCGGCGUCGACGAGCUGGGGCCCUGCAGAAAGCGGCGGCAGAUACGGAUCUGGAGCUGUACAUACAAAGCGUUAUGCGUCGAUUGGAGGCCAUGAAAGGUGCGCAGACGCAGUUGGGGGCGCACAACCUUGACGCCCCUGCGGUGACAACGCGCAAACGACCUCGAUCGAGCAACGCACCGACAACCUCGUUGGCCAGUGCCAGCAGUGGGGGCAAUAGGACUGGCAUUCCAACUUCGUCCGGCCCUGAUUCUUUUUGCGGCAUGCGUGGAGAGGUGAUGGCGACCGCUCCCACGGAUGCGGUGGACCUCGCGGCUCUUGCGGCGGUGCUGCAGGAGCACUGCCAUGACAUGGUUUACGUGAACCCACUCAGUGAACGCCUCGCUGCGCCAGCUGCAGUGGAGGAGAGCACAGACAGCACCACCACAACGGCCACCACCAUUAUGGGCAUAUCUAGUAGCAACAGCAAUGGCAGUCUGACGAACGCCGCACAUGCAGCUGGCACCACCACCGCGCACGCCACUGCUGGGGUGGCGGUAGAGAGGACAUCCAUGGCUGACCUGGUGGAUGCUGCUCCGGAGGCAGUUUCCGAAAGCGCAGAGGGCGCCGACGCGGAUGCUGCCGAGGACAUCGACGCGCAGGAUUUGUCUGGCGGGCUCGACGCCGUGGCACUGCUGCGCCGCAUUCCUGCCAUCAGCGCAACGCGCUGGGCGCUGCCGAGCGGUGCGCGUAGCGCCAGCAACAGCGGUGCUGAUGAAACUGGCGCUGCAGCACAGCGCCUUCUUUCGGCCACGGCGACCACGGCAAUGGCGCGGACGGGCGGCGCGUCUGUUUCUGCCUCCUCACUGUCGCUGUCGAGGCCACUGACGUGCUCCUCGAUUCCUACGACGGCGGCGGUGCCGCCAGCGCGCGACAAUGAAGAGGAGGAGCGCGUCUCUGCAGCCAUUCGCGCAUUUGACGCCUUCACCACUGCGCUCGAGCAAUCGGCCGCCGCCACAGCCGGUGUGUCCGCGGGCCCGCCGCAGUCCUCCCUGGCGCUAUCUGCGCCGUCGUCGUCGUCCACUGGGAACCUCAGCAGCCGCCGCGCUGCCGCGCGUCACGCGGCGUCCGGUGCCCUUCACCCGCGGCCCCCGGUGCCACCGCCGUCUUCGACCUCUAAAGUUCGGCGCCGACACAAGUUCAGCCCUCAAGAAGACGCCGCCAUUCUUCACGGAGUCGCGCGCUUUGGGCAGGUGAGCGGCUCCUUCCAGUACAUCUUGCACGCCUACCGAAGCGUGUGGCGGGCCGGCAGAACAGCGCUGCACCUGUACGACCACUGGCGUGGUGCAUUGCGUCGGCGCGCUGUUGCGGCUGCCAGUGACGAGGCGACAAGCCACGCAGACAGAAACGCUUUCAACGAAGCGCUUGAUGACAGGGAUGAUGCAGAGCGCGCGUCCCCCAUCUACCCUGCAACGCCGGACUGCAGGCAGGACCUGAGCUCGGACAUCGAAGACUUCUCUGAUGAUUCGUGAAGCUCAGUGCAGCGUCGCUGACGGCGCAUGGAGGAAGUAGGUGAGUAGGUGAAAGGCACAGCAGAGAGUCGUGCCCCUGUGUAUGGACCAGCGACACUCGCACGGAUGAUGCGCAGGCGCUGUCUCUCUGUCGCCACCGCGUUCGGUUGCGCGCUCGUGUGUGGCGGUCAGCGCGAGAUUUGCAGGCCUCUGUGUUUUCUUUUGUUGUUUUUGUUCCUCUUCCUUCGCGUUCAUUGCAUCGUUGUUGUUCUUUGGCGUCUCCCUCUCGUCGCUCGUCAACCGGCUGUGCAGAUGCGAGCAGCGUGCCUGCUUCGUGCAAGCGCCGUUACCCACAGAAGGAAGGUAAAAGCCCCACAGGUCCCUUUCGGACAAUCUCAGGAAGCAAAGUAGCGCCUCACCAUCAUCUCUGCAGACAUGCACGCGCCCGCACGUCUGUGUGCGUUUGCAUGUGUGCCGCUCAGCGCGUGAUGCUGCACCAGUCUCCUUCAACUCCCUUUGUUACUGCUGCUGCUGCUACUGCCCUGCGUACAUGUUUGCGCACCUGUGUUGCCACCUUUGGGUUUGAGAGUUUCCACCCUCAUUCUGAAGGCUUUUACACCCUUCUCUCACGCCUCGCUUGACUGCCUGCUCCUCUCUUCAUUACCCCCGCCACAUCGCGGUGCACGGCUUUCCUGUACAUACACACGCACGGGGGGUGCAUGCAUUCACCGCAUACCUCAACACAAACUUGCUCCACACCUUCUUCCACUUCUCUGUGCGGCAUCAUAACCCACGUAG